rnacentral:tRNA from 4 species
GCACCUCUAGCUCAAUUGGUAGAGCAACUGACUCUUAAUCAGUGGGUUCCGGGUUCAAGUCCCGGGGGGUGCACCA